UACGUAGGUGGCAAGCGUUGUCCGGAAUUAUUGGGCGUAAAGCGCGCGCAGGUGGUUCCUUAAGUCUGAUGUGAAAGCCCACGGCUCAACCGUGGAGGGUCAUUGGAAACUGGGGAACUUGAGUGCAGAAGAGGAAAGUGGAAUUCCAAGUGUAGCGGUGAAAUGCGUAGAGAUUUGGAGGGACACCAGUGGCGAAGGCGACUUUCUGGUCUGUAACUGACACUGAGGCGCGAAAGCGUGGGGAGCAAACAGG
rnacentral:rRNA from 1 species